rnacentral:rRNA from 1 species
GUCCGCGCGGUAAACGAUGAAUGCUCGGGAUUCGGCUGUUAUGGCUGAGUCCCCCAGCGAAAGCGUUAAGCAUUCCACCUGGGGAGUACGCCGGCAACGGUGAAACUCAAAGGAAUUGACGGGGGCCCGCACAAGCGGAGGAACAUGUGGUUUAAUUCGAUGAUACGCGAGGAACCUUACCCGGGCUUGAAAUGUGCCUGGCGGCCGGCAGAGACGCCGGCCUCCUUCGGGCAGGCAUGUAGGUGCUGCAUGGUUGUCGU